rnacentral:rRNA from 1 species
AACGAACGCUGGCGGCGCGCCUAAUACAUGCAAGUCGAGCGAGAAGGUGUAGCAAUACACUUGUAAAGCGGCGAACGGGUGAGGAAUACAUGGGUAACCUACCAUCGAGUGGGGAAUAACCAGCCGAAAGGUUGGCUAAUACCGCGUACGCCUCCGAGUCUUCGGAUUUGGAGGGAAAGCCACGCUGAGAGUGUGGCGCUCUUUGAUGGGCUCAUGUCCUAUCAGCUGUUGGUAGGGUAACGGCCUACCAAGGCUUUGACGGGUAGCUGGUCUGAGAGGACGAUCAGCCACACUGGCACUGCGACACGGGCCAGACUCCUACGGGAGGCAGCAGUAAGGAAUAUUGCGCAAUGGGCGAAAGCCUGACGCAGCGACGCCGCGUGGGGGAUGAAGGUCUUCGGAUUGUAAACCCCUUUCGGGUAGGGAAGACGGAACGAGCAAUCGUUCGGACGGUACCUCCAGAAGCAGCCACGGCCAACUUCGUGCCAGCAGCCGCAGUAAC